GCGUGAGUAGUCACGACUGGAAAGCGUGUAACCGUCUAAAGCGGUUCGGGGGUUCGAAUCCCCCUCUUUCCGCA
rnacentral:tRNA from 1 species